AUUGAACGCUGGCGGCAGGCCUAACACAUGCAAGUCGAACGGAGCGGCGGACGGGUGAGUAAUGCCUAGGAAUCUGCCUGGUAGUGGGGGAUAACGUCCGGAAACGGGCGCUAAUACCGCAUACUAUCAGAUGAGCCGAGGUCGGAUUAGCUAGUUGGUGGGUUAAAGGCCUACAAAGGCGACGAUCCGUAACUGGUCUGAGAGGAUGAGCAGUCACACGGGAACUGAGACACGGUCCAGACUCAGACGGGAGGCAGCAGUGGGAAAUUUUGGACAAUGGGGGAAACCCGGAUCCAGCCAUCCCGCGUGUAGGAUGAAGGCCUUCGGGUUGUAAAGUACGUUUAGCAGAGAAGCGGUAUCUGCAGAAUAAGCACCGGCUAACUACGUGCCAGCAGCCGCGGUAAUAC
rnacentral:rRNA from 1 species